rnacentral:rRNA from 1 species
UACGUAGGGUGCGAGCGUUAAUCGGAAUUACUGGGCGUAAAGUGUGCGCAGGCGGCAAAGCAAGUCGAGUGUGAAAGCCCCGGGCUCAACCUGGGAACUGCAUUUGUGACUGCAUCGCUGGAGUACGGCAGAGGGGGAUGGAAUUCCGCGUGUAGCAGUGAAAUGCGUAGAUAUGCGGAGGAACACCGAUGGCGAAGGCAAUCCCCUGGGCCUGUACUGACGCUCAUGCACGAAAGCGUGGGGAGCAAACAGG